UCUUUAACGGCCUCUGUUUUUACUUUCCGUUUGAGGGCAUGCAACAAACUUCAGCCUGGUCCUCACAGCCAUUGCCCUGUUGGGGCCAUUCUCCCACAAGCUGUCCAAGCUCCAAAACACAACCCCUAGCCUCUAUGUGCUGUGUGCAUAAUCCUGCAGUUAGGGGCUUUAUGCCUCCCAUUUCAAGGAAGUACUGGGGACCCACUUUCAUUAGCUAAUAUAUAGCUCCUGAUGCACAGCAAGCUGCUUUGAAUACCCAGAUUGAAAGACCCACCCCAAUAACCUCAUAAGAAACAAAAUACAAGAAUCAGGCACAAUACUUUCUUCUUGGAUCAUAACCUGAAGGUUUGAGACUCAGACUCUGGCCGACUUCCAGCAGGAGGAAGCCUUUAUUGUUCAAUAAAACUAUUCUGCUGUAGGCAGAAAGGUGUCACCAUUAGUGGCAUUGCAAUUUGCAUCAGGCCUUUUCAUUCUGCUUUAUGAUAGCUCUCCAACACAGCGUGGUUUUGGGGGGUUAGGUUGGAGGCUAGCAGCAAAAGAGUUGGGUUCUUUGUGAAACUCCUUUUUCCCCCAACUGCUUUGCUGCAUAACCUUGGGCAAAGUCUGUAUCGAUCAUGUAUACCUUGGCUUCACCCUCUGUAAAAUGGGGAUAAUAUUACUGACUGACCCAUCUUUUAGAUUCUUAGAUGAAAGGUGCUAUUUCAGUGGAAAGUGUUGUUAUUGGCAAAUUCACUAUAAGCAAUUCCUUUGGGUCCUUGAUAACAACAGUAGAAUCAGUCAAAUGCCCUUGAUGCACUGCAUGGUCCCAGAUACCUUUCAGAGUUUCUUUGUGUGCUGUCCUACCCCCUGAGGUCUGAGGGGACGGGGCUGCUGGAGCCUGGAUUUUCCAGGAAGGGUAGUGUGUUUGCUUCUGGCCUCAAGGCUGUAAACUGCUCUUCUUUUUGACAUGAGGUGGACCAUUGGAAUGAUCCUCUUUUAAAGGAGGUUUAAAAACUUUUUAAAAUUAUAAAUUUCAGAAGGCCUUCAGCAGAUUGUGUUGCCUUAUAAGUCAACUUUUAACUCCACACCACAGUAGGAAGCAGCUAAACAGAAAAAAACGGGAUAAAGUUUACCUUUCAGAAAUAUGCCAAGUAACACACUGCAGCACGCUAAGACUACAAGGACUGGAGGCUGAGUGAAGCUAAACUGCCCAGAAGCAACUGUCCAUUUUCAUUCUUGCACCACAGUUCAACGAUUAACUUUGGGCAUGUAAAAAGAACAUACAGACGUAAUUGCCGGAAACAUUGUGAAGAAGCUGAACUGAGGCUGAAGUUUAGAACUAAAUUGCGCUGAUUUUUCUUCAUUAACAUUCUACUAAUGGCAUCUUAGAGAGGUGCCACCAGUACUCCUCGUUCUUUUUGCUGAUACAGACUAACACGGCUACCACUCUGAAACCAUUCUACUAAUGGAAAUUAGUUUUCUGUCUUCAUUACGGCAAUGUACACCACACUCUUUUGAAAAUGUAAUUAAAGCAAAGAGUUGUAUA